AUUGAACGCUGGCGGCAGGCCUAACACAUGCAAGUCGAGCGGUAACAGGAAGGAAGCUUGCUUUCUUUGCUGACGAGCGGCGGACGGGCGAGUAAUGCCUGGGAAAUUGCCCUGAUGUGGGGGAUAACCAUUGGAAACGAUGGCUAAUACCGCAUGAUGCCUACGGGCCAAAGAGGGGGACCUUCGGGCCUCUCGCGUCAGGAUAUGCCCAGGUGGGAUUAGCUAGUUGGUGAGGUAAUGGCUCACCAAGGCGACGAUCCCUAGCUGGUCUGAGAGGAUGAUCAGCCACACUGGAACUGAGACACGGUCCAGACUCCUACGGGAGGCAGCAGUGGGGAAUAUUGCACAAUGGGCGCAAGCCUGAUGCAGCCAUGCCGCGUGUAUGAAGAAGGCCUUCGGGUUGUAAAGUACUUUCAGUCGUGAGGAAGGGGGUAUCGUUAAUAGCGGUAUUCUUUGACGUUAGCGACAGAAGAAGCACCGGCUAACUCCGUGCCAGCAGCCGCGGUAAUACGGAGGGUGCGAGCGUUAAUCGGAAUUACUGGGCGUAAAGCGCAUGCAGGUGGUUUGUUAAGUCAGAUGUGAAAGCCCGGGGCUCAACCUCGGAGUUGCAUUUGAAACUGGCAGGCUAGAGUACUGUAGAGGGGGGUAGAAUUUCAGGUGUAGCGGUGAAAUGCGUAGAGAUCUGAAGGAAUACCGGUGGCGAAGGCGGCCCCCUGGACAGAUACUGACACUCAGAUGCGAAAGCGUGGGGAGCAAACAGG
rnacentral:rRNA from 1 species